GGCUAGCAUGGCACAGUGGUCUGAGCACUGGACUAUGACUCUGGAGACUAGGGUUUGAAUCCCGGCUCAGUCA